rnacentral:rRNA from 1 species
GACGAACGCUGGCGGCGUGCCUAAUACAUGCAAGUCGAACGCAGUGGGGACGGGUGAUUAACACGUGGGUAACCUCCCAUCAGAGGGGAUAACACUUGGCAACAGGUGCUAAACCGAUACUGAUGGAUGGACCCGGGGUGAAUUCGCUAGUGGGUGAGGUAACGGCUCACCUAGGCCACGAGGCAUAGCUGGCCUGAGAGGGUGAUCGGCCACACUGGGACUGAGACACGGCCCAGACUCCUACGGGAGGCAGCAGUGGGGAAUCUUCGGCAAUGGACGAAAGUCUGACCGAGCAACGCCGCGUGAGUGAAGAAGGUUUUCGGAUCGUAAAACUCUGUUGUUAGAGAAGCGGUAUCUAAAGAGAAAGCCACGGCUAACUACGUGCCAGCAGCCGCGGUAAUAC